CCGGGCAGCAGGGUGCAGCUGGGGACACCCAUCCAGUGGCCUGCUCCGUCUGCUCUGUGUCCCUUCCUGUGCUCUCCCCACCCCCCUCCUGCCCGCCCUGUCACACCUGUCCCCUUCUGGCCCCUCCUGCUCAGGGACCCCUCAGAGCUCCCCCGCCCCGUCAUCGGUUUUCCCUGUGACCAUGUCCAGCGGGCACAUUCGGGGCAUCGUCUCAUCCUUACAAGACUCUCUGGACUCCCCACCCCCUGCCGCCGUGAGACUUUACCGCUGACCUCCUGCAGGGGUGGCCCCCCUCGCUGCUCCUCUCCCCUCCUGAGCUCAGGCCCACAGCCGGCUCUACCUUUGCGGGGGGGCUUUGACAGUGGGAGCAAAUUAGCCCAAGCUUCACUGGCUCCCUCCAACCCCGGCCGUGUGGCCUCGCGGUUUCCGGGGUCCGGCGUCCAGGUAGGGCGGGGCCGCGGUCUCAUCCGAAGCUCACUCCUGGGGGUACGGAUUCGGGUCCUCGCCGAUGGGACUUCCCGCGGCUGUGCAGCGCGUGGGCCUCUCCGUGCGGCGGCUUCCGGCACAGCCUUUCCGAGUCAGCAGCCGGGCCCGCGCUGGAGGGGAGGCCACGACACAAUACGCGAAACCAGGAGGCGGGAUGCGGAAUCCGCCCAGCGCUCACCACCCACCCUCGCCGCGAUGACCCCGGUGCCCCUCCUCCCUGACCUCCCUCCUCCCCCCCUGCAGAGUGGCCAGAGGGCCUGGGACGACCUAGGUCCUGCCCCGCCACUGCUCUGUCCUCAGUCCUCCCAAUGGCCUUCUCGCUGUCGUGGACACUGCCUCCAGCUGGGACCCCCCAGCAGCUCCCGGCCGGUGACCGAGCAGAACAGCGGCGGACAGCCUGGCCGGCCAGCUGGGGAAGGGAGGACAGCCCUGCAGCACUGCUCACCCCAUGACUCCCCGGCUGCUCUUCCAGAGGCCCAGGGCUUCACUCCGCAGCCGUCCCCCGGGGAGAUGCCGUCUGCGCCGGCACGGGUGCCUGCAGAGCUGGGGCGCUGGGCCCGGAUCAUAAACCGGGUCCUGGGUAAGCUGAGCCGGUCCGCGGACCACAGUGCUCAGGACUCCGGUCCCCAAAUGAGUAAGUGCGGUUGA
rnacentral:lncRNA from 1 species